CACCCAUGUCUUUUGCGCACUUGUUGUUUCCUGGGCGGGUUCGCCCGCCACCAGGACCAAACCAUAAACCUUUUUUUUAAUGCAGUUGCAAUCAGCGUCAGUAAAAAAUAAUGUAAUUAUUACAACUUUCAACAACGGAUCUCUUGGUUCUGGCAUCGAUGAAGAACGCAGCGAAAUGCGAUACGUAGUGUGAAUUGCAGAAUUCAGUGAAUCAUCGAAUCUUUGAACGCACAUUGCGCCCUUUGGUAUUCCAAAGGGCAUGCCUGUUCGAGCGUCAUUUGUACCUUCAAGCUUUGCUUGGUGUUGGGCGUUUUUUGUCUCCCUCUUGCUGGGAGACUCGCCUUAAAACGAUUGGCAGCCGGCCUACUGGUUUCGGAGCGCAGCACAUAUUUUGCACUCUGUGUCAGGAGAAAAGGACGGUAAUCCAUCAAGACUCUACAAAUUUUAACUUUGACCUCGGAUCAGGUAGGGAUACCCGCUGAACUUAAGCAUAUCAA
rnacentral:rRNA from 1 species